rnacentral:misc_RNA from 1 species
AACGCACCUUGCGCUCCUUGGUAUUCCUUGGAGCAUGCCUGUUUGAGUAUCAUGAAAUUCUCAAAACAAAUCUUUUGUUAAUUCGAUUGGUUUCGUUUUGGACUUGGAGGCUUUGCGGAUUCACGUCUGCUCCUCUUAAAAAUAUUAGCUGGAUCUCAGUAAACUUGGUUCCACUCGGCGUGAUAAGUAUCACUCGCUGAGGACAUCCGUAAAAAAGGUGGCCAGGAUUGCAGAUGAACCGCUUCUAAUAGUCUAUUAAAUUGGACAAUAUACUUUAUGAUCUGAUCUCAAAUCAGGUAGGACUACCCGCUGAACUUAA